rnacentral:rRNA from 1 species
UAUACAUGACUCUGCGCAUAUCAAUAAGCGGAGGAAAAGAAACUAACAAGGAUUCCCCUAGUAACGGCGAGUGAAGCGGGAGGAGCUCAAAUUUGAAAUCUUAAAGGGUUUCCCUUUACGAAUUGUAGUUUAAAGAAGUGUUUUCUGUUGAGGUUUUGGUAAAAGUUCUUUGGAAUAGGACAUCAUAGAGGGUGAGAAUCCCGUAUUUGACCUUUACUUUCAACUUUGUGAUACACUUUCAAAGAGUCGGAUUGUUUGGGAAUGCAGUCCAAAAAUGGGUGGUAAAUUUCAUCUAAAGCUAAAUAUUGGCGAGAGACCGAUAGCGAACAAGUACCGUGAGGGAAAGAUGAAAAGAACUUUGAAAAGAGAGUUAAACAGGUACGUGAAAUUGUCAAAAGGGAAGCGUUUGACACCAGUGUUGUUUUUCUGAAAAUCAAUUAAAGAACUGUUUAUGCUAAGUUGUUUAGACUUUAUCAGCUAUCUGUUUAGUUUUGAGCUUUUCUUUAAUGCACUUUUCAGUUAACAAGUCAACAUCAAUUUCUUUUGCUGUAAAAAAGCUUGAGGAAGGUGGCUUGAGAUUCGUCUUAAGUGUUUAUAGCCUCUUGCCUAUGCAGUCGGAGAGAUUGAGGUCUGCAGCGUAGAUCCUUCGGGGCUAAAUGCAUUUGUGCUAAGUUAUAGCAUUUUAUAGACAACUUGUUGACUAUGAUUUGUCUUGUAGCUUACUCGCUUAUGUUAUUUUACCUACGCUUAGGAUGUUGAUCUACAGAGCGAGAGU